rnacentral:rRNA from 1 species
GAUGAACGCUGGCGGCGUGCCUAAUACAUGCAAGUCGAGCGAACAGAUGAGGAGCUUGCUCCUCUGACGUUAGCGGCGGACGGGUGAGUAACACGUGGAUAACCUACCUAUAAGACUGGGAUAACUUCGGGAAACCGGAGCUAAUACCGGAUAAUAUAUUGAACCGCAUGGUUCAAUAGUGAAAGACGGUUUUGCUGUCACUUAUAGAUGGAUCCGCGCCGCAUUAGCUAGUUGGUAAGGUAACGGCUUACCCAGGCAACGAUGCGUAGCCGACCUGAGAGGGUGAUCGGCCACACUGGAACUGAGACACGGUCCAGACUCCUACGGGAGGCAGCAGUAGGGAAUCUUCCGCAAUGGGCGAAAGCCUGACGGAGCAACGCCGCGUGAGUGAUGAAGGUCUUCGGAUCGUAAAACUCUGUUAUUAGGGAAGAACAAAUGUGUAAGUAACUAUGCACGUCUUGACGGUACCUAAUCAGAAAGCCACGGCUAACUACGUG